UACUACAACUCCGUUUGAGUCGCAAGUCAUCUCUGUCGAUAGGCUCAUUAUAUGACUUCCUUUCGCCAAAUUGUUGGUUUUGUCUUGUCAACCUCUACUCUCGCAGACAACGAAGAAGACGGAUGACUGACUGGACAUAAUCUCUGUCACCUGAUCUCGAGUGAUUUUUUCUCUUCAGACGCAGAUCUGAGGCGUUCUUUUUGGCUAAUGUUAUAGUCAUCACCGCUGGCUACUAGACCUACAGGGUGAUGUUGGUGCUCAUCGUACUGUUGCUACGGCAGAACGUGAAAUGUGAGAGACAAUACUAUCCCAUCCGGGAUCAUAUCUCGGUCAGUCGCUUUCAUCGCGUUUCUACAAGACGAAUCGAGACGUUAGUCAUGUCUGUUGAAAGGUUCGCUUUGUAUGUUUAUGCCACUGAAUAGCCGGUUUUGUCUCUUGACUCUUUCUGUUGCAGGGCGGUGAGAAAGGUGAUCGACCUACGGGACAUAAUCUCUGUCACAGUAUGAGCGCACUUGUUGGGUUCUACAGCUUUCAGAAAUUCUCUUGUGGAAGUGGUGGAGGAGGCAACGACAUCACAAUCUCAUUCACUACAUCCAGUUAAUCAACGUAGUUAUAUGAAUCAGAUGACCUGCUAACGUUUCUAUGCCAUCAAUGAGAGAAGUAAGACACAUGGUCAACAUCAAAUACAGAAGUUUAGGUAUAGACUUGUUAUUUGCUUGUCUCGCCUGCCAUCUUUGUUGAAGCAAUUGAAGAAAAUGCAGAAGAGCCACCAGACAGAACAGUCACACAAACGUCUGUCACAAGCAAUACAAUCUAUUAGCUCUGACAUUCCUGCAUGAAAUGGCUGCAGAAUCCAAAGCAAAGAAACAAACUUCAAGAGGAGGAGAUAUGACUGAUUGUGUGAAGAAAUUUCAAAUGGAACAUUCAGUUGUACGUGGUUUAUGAAGAUGGAGUGAGAUAAAAAGAUAAAGUCGGAUAGAAAGAUGACAUGUCACUGAGUAUCAAGAAAGACUAUUUACUCUAAUGAUUAGCUGACUCUUCAUGUUCUCCGUCUAUCAGUAGGAGUAAUAGUGACACAUCAAAUGGUCUUCCUCUCUUGUCAUUGUGGUCACGUGAUGUUUACUCUACAGGUCACGUGAUGUUUGUAACGAUAUUGAUGAGAACAAGCGUCUCAUAGUGUGAAGACUGAAUAUUUAUUUCUAGAUACUUUUAUUUGUUUAAAAGGUGUUUUGUAUUAUGAAAUAUAGAGUAGAAUGUAAAUAGUAAACAAUGAUAUAGAAUACUCUAAAAUAGUUAUGAUU